CAAUAGCGUAUAUUAAAGUUGUUGCAGUUAAAAAGCUCGUAGUUGGAUUUCUGGUUGGAGCGACCGGUCGGGCGUUGAUUCGUCUGCACUGGAGUCGGUUUUGGCCAUCCUCUAGGAAAGUGCGUCUGGUAUUAAGUUAUCGGGCGUAUGAUCCUGGUCUUUUACUGUGAAAAAAUUAGAGUGUUUAAAGCAGGCCUUCGCCUUGAAUACAUUAGCAUGGAAUAAUAAGAUAGGACUUUGGUCUAUUUUGUUGGUUUGCAGACCGAAGUAAUGAUUAAUAGGGAUAGUUGGGGGUAUUUAUAUUCCGAUGUCAGAGGUGAAAUUCUUAGAUUUUCGGAAGAUAAACUUAUGCGAAAGCAUUUACCAAGGAUGUUUNCAUUAA
rnacentral:rRNA from 1 species